AGACUCUUUUAGUAUUAAGCAGUACAAUUGACUUCCAAUCAAUCAGUUUCGGUAAACUCCGAAAAAGAGUA
rnacentral:tRNA from 1 species